rnacentral:rRNA from 1 species
ACCUUACCAAGGCUUGACAUAUACGAGAACGGGCCAGAAAUGGUCAACUCUUUGGACACUCGUAAACAGGUGGUGCAUGGUUGUCGUCAGCUCGUGUCGUGAGAUGUUGGGUUAAGUCCCGCAACGAGCGCAACCCUCGUUCUAUGUUGCCAGCACGUAAUGGUGGGAACUCAUGGGAUACUGCCGGGGUCAACUCGGAGGAAGGUGGGGAUGACGUCAAAUCAUCAUGCCCCUUAUGUCUUGGGCUUCACGCAUGCUACAAUGGCCGGUACAAAGGGCUGCAAUACCGCGAGGUGGAGCGAAUCCCAAAAAGCCGGUCCCAGUUCGGAUUGAGGUCUGCAACUCGACCUCAUGAAGUCGGAGUCGCUAGUAAUCGC